rnacentral:rRNA from 1 species
AAUUAAUUCCAAUCAUUUUUAAGAACCCUCAAACGAUACUGAGUAAUUCUAUACUUCUAUAGAAGAUUUUAUGUUAAAACUAGUAACAAGAAGAAGAACUUCUUAUAUAAGCAAGUGUAAAUCAGAUAGGACACACCACUGAUAAUUAACACCAAUGAAAUAAAGUAGCAACUCAACAAGAAAACUCCACUAAAUUAUGUGUUAACCUAACACUAGAGCAUUUCAAAAAAGAUUAAAAGAAAAAGAAGGAACUCGGCAAAUUCUAACCUCGCCUGUUUACCAAAAACAUCGCCUCUUGAAUCAAAUAUAAGAGGUCCAGCCUGCCCAGUGACUCUUGUUCAACGGCCGCGGUAUCCUAACCGUGCGAAGGUAGCGUAAUCACUUGUCCUUUAAAUGAGGACUAGUAUGAACGGCACCACGAAGGUUUUACUGUCUCCUUUUUCCAAUCAGUGAAACUAAUCUCCCCGUGAAGAAGCGGGAAUAAGCCUAUAAGACGAGAAGACCCUAUGGAGCUUUAAACCACGUAACACUUGCACCAACUCUAUAAAUUUCCGAUAAAACCUAUCUUAUCAAUGCAAGAUUAUUACCAGUUUUAGGUUGGGGUGACCGCGGAGCAAAAAACAGCCUCCACAUUGAAGGGACUAAUUAUCCUGAGCAAAGAACAACACCUCCAUGCACCAUUACAAUGACAUCAAUUGAUCCAAUAUUUUGAUCAACGAACCAAGUUACCCUAGGGAUAACAGCGCAAUCCACUUCAAGAGCUCCUAUCGACAAGUGGGUUUACGACCUCGAUGUUGGAUCAGGGUAUCCCGGUGGUGCAGCCGCUAUCAAAGGUUCGUUUGUU